GGUGUUCCAGAACCGUGGGGAUGUGGCACUGAGGGACGCGGGCAGCGGGCAGCUGGGGGGGUGGACGGUGGCACUUGGUGAUCUUAGAGGUCUUUGCCAACCAGAGAGAUUCUGUCAUUCUGUGAAUGGAGCCAUUUAUUGCAACGAGAGGUAAUCAGCAGCAAACAACCACAAAGUAAAGCCUCGAGAACAUCACGGGAACACGGAAACACUUGACUGGGAUACUGAUGGAGCCACGGGCCCGGCAGCAUUCAGGUGGGGCCAGGAGGCUGGAUGUGUGGCCCAGUGCCUUCAGCAGCACCAACACGCCGGGUUCCUGCGGGGCUGCGUCCGGCACCGGGCCCCUCACUCUGCGCUGGCUGCAGGAGCCGCCGCCCUCCUGCUGGGGUGCCCUCACCCCUGUGACGUGUGAUGGCGUCACCGAGGGUGUCAGAGAGGGGCCAUUGUGACGCAUGGGGUGUGGAGCAGAGCUCAGGCUGCGGGGCUCAGGCGGAGCUCAGUGCGACUUGGUGAGGUUGGCACGCAGAGGAGAAAGCCUGGUGUUGCUGGGACAGACACUCUGUGAGAGCUCACUGUUAAUGCACACGAUGUCCGAGGGGACACAGCAGGCCGCUGACUCGAGGGAGUCUGCAUGCGUGCUCUGUGGCCGAGUGGAUAACAACCCACCUAUCUUCGGCAAGAGAUAUGAGAUGUAUGGGAUGUGUUUCCAUGCAUUUUGUGUGGGAUUUGCCAAUGGCCUCUGUCAACAUGGAAUUGACAAUCAAAAUAAAGGACUUUUCUAUGUUGAACACCUCAUACACACCUUGAUGCAGGCAGCGCAGACGGUGAGCACCAGACCAGAACAGGGAGCUUUGUGUGAGCUCAGCCUGGUCCCAAGGAAGCAAUCCCAGCCCUUCCAACCAGCCCCAGGAGAAAGUCCUGCUCUUGCAGACGAGCCCUGUUCACCAGGCAGCUCUGCAGAGUGCCACCCAGCCCUGCCCGCACGCUGUGCCCUGCCCAGAGGUGCGGGGCCCGCUGCGUAGGCCCUGAGCCUGCUGCUGAUGGGGGCCUCUCUGCUCUUUCCAGCUCUGCUUCGUCUGUGGCAAUUUGGGGGCCACCAUCACUUGCGCAGAGGCGGGCUGCAACCGCAGUUUCCAUUUCCCCUGCGCCUCGGAGGGUCAGUGUGUCACCCAGCACUUUGACCAGUACAGGUAAGGGCUGCCAGGCAUCGCCUGUGGACUUCCAACCCCUGCUGUCAGCACCAGUCAAAGCACUGAGAAACGCGCUGCGACAGCUCCCAGGGGCCUGGCAGAGCCAGAGCCAAGGCCUGGGG